ACGGGUGCGUAACGCGUGGGAAUCUGCCCUUAGGUUCGGAAUAACAGCUGGAAACGGCUGCUAAUACCGGAUGAUAUCGCGAGAUCAAAGAUUUAUCGCCUGAGGAUGAGCCCGCGUUGGAUUAGGUAGUUGGUGGGGUAAAGGCCUACCAAGCCGACGAUCCAUAGCUGGUCUGAGGGGAUGAUCAGCCACACUGGGACUGAGACACGGCCCAGACUCCUACGGGAGGCAGCAGUGGGGAAUAUUGGACAAUGGGCGCAAGCCUGAUCCAGCAAUGCCGCGUGAGUGAUGAAGGCCCUAGGGUUGUAAAGCUCUUUUACCCGGGAAGAUAAUGACUGUACCGGGAGAAUAAGCCCCGGCUAACUCCGUGCCAGCAGCCGCGGUAAUACGGAGGGGGCUAGCGUUGUUCGGAAUUACUGGGCGUAAAGCGCACGUAGGCGGCUUUGUAAGUCAGAGGUGAAAGCCUGGAGCUCAACUCCAGAACUGCCUUUGAGACUGCAUCGCUUGAAUCCAGGAGAGGUCAGUGGAAUUCCGAGUGUAGAGGUGAAAUUCGUAGA
rnacentral:rRNA from 1 species